rnacentral:rRNA from 1 species
AACGAACGCUGGCGGCAUGCCUAACACAUGCAAGUCGAACGAGAUCUUCGGGUCGAGUGGCGCACGGGUGCGUAACGCGUGGGAAUCUGCCCUUUGGUUCGGAAUAACAGUUGGAAACGACUGCUAAUACCGGAUGAUGACGAAAGUCCAAAGAUUUAUCGCCAGAGGAUGAGCCCGCGUAGGAUUAGCUAGUUGGUGUGGUAAAGGCGCACCAGGGCGACGAUCCUUAGCUGGUCUGAGAGGAUGAUCAGCCGCACUGGGACUGAGACACGGCCCAGACUCCUACGGGAGGCGGCAGUGGGGAAUAUUGGACAAUGGGCGAAAGCCUGAUCCAGCAAUGCCGCGUGAGUGAUGAAGGCCUUAGGGUUGUAAAGCUCUUUUACCCGGGAUGAUAAUGACAGUACCGGGAGAAUAAGCUCCGGCUAACUCCGUGCCAGCCGCCGCCGUAA